CCCAAAUCAAUUCCCUAACAGCACAGUCUCAUCAGAACUUCACGAUGACAAAGAGGAAGAUUAUGAACCCUAGCUUUUCUCCAUCUCGAUUAAUCGUGACCCUCCUCUCUCCGCCGGCACCGCUCAUCUCGUGCGACCCGCAUCUCUCCGCCGUUGAGGGAUUGGGCAGCGGAAGGCCAAAAAUGGUGUAGUGCCUUGUGCGUUGUGCCUAGCCUUCUCAUGGACGAGUGCGACGAGAACGCCACCGAUUAUCUUCACUCUCAAGUCUCAAGAGAUUUCGAUCUCGAGCGACGUGAGCCAUCACCCUUGCCAUGUGUCCGGUCUUCUUCCUCUGCAACGAGAGCAACCAUCAACCCCACUGAAUCUCAUCACAUCGAUAAAGAAGGGUUUAAUGUGUUGACUGGUAUUCUCUUCUUCUUAUCCAUUGCUAGGGGUGCAGAGAAGUAAGGGUGAGGAUAGCCAUUUUCAUUUAGCUUCAGUGUUUAAAGAGGUUUUUACUAUGUAUAAGAUGGGAGUUGAAUUGAAGACCUUCAGAGAAUAUAAUUUCUUUUUUCAAGGUUCAAUGUCUUCUGGAAUCGAAGGCUUUUCUUGACAUAAUAUGGGAAGAAAGAUUUUUCAAGAAUGAAGCUUUGUUAGGUACUAUGUUUCUCAAGAAAGAUUUUGAACAUCUCAUCAACCUUUGUUAGGAAUCAGGCAUCAUAUUCCAAGUCUUUUAUGGCUUGAUUGGUAGCUGGACAACUUAUUUAAUUAGCAUUUUGUUCAUCUGAGCACUGAAGUCAGAAAAAGAAAGAGAAUGUCACUUUCAAAAAUUAUGUCUCAUUCAGUGGGUUGAAGUGUUGGAGAGCUUAUUGGGUCCAUUCUGGGAAGUAGUUGGAUUGGUCUUCAAUUGCACUCUCAUCUUUUGUCUUGUAAUUCAAAUCAUAGCUUGUAGAAGGUUUGUUUAUAUAUUUGCUUAUUUUGUACUUAGAUUUAGUCGUAGGUUUUUGGGUUCUUAUAAUACUUGUCAUUUAUUAAAUCUUGAACUAGUAAAUGCCAAAUAUUUGUGGUAUAACAGCUUAAUUUCUCGAAACCUAUUUGAUCUGUCGGGGUUUAUUUUAAAAAGUAGCAAUAGUGUAAGACCGUGGAUUAAUAUCAAAAUAUUGUGGCAUAGGCAACGGUUACGAAACUGUGGCAUUAAUAUGCCUUAUGAAACCGUGGCAUUAACUUGCCUUAUGUAACCGUGGCAUAAAUUUGAGGCCGCGGUUUCAAUAGGCGGGUUAAUGCCACAGUUGUCUUUCACGCCGCGGUUUAUGAUUCGUGGUAUAAAUAUAACCGUCGCCUUACGUUUUUCAUCGAACCGUGGCGUAAACGCGACAGAACCGUGGCUCUUGAGCUUGGCCACGACCACAUACACUACGACAAGGAAACGACGGCCAAACCGUGGCAUAUGCUUUUCGCCAAGGUUUUUUCGCAUGAGCCUGCGGUUUUCCGUCCGCGGUAGAAGGGCAAAAAUGCUGUAGUGGCAAUAAUUAUGUUUUUCUUCGAAUAUUCUUCAAAUGUUCUUAUGAUCUUCAAGCAAAAACCUUUAGAAAGAAGCUUUGAUCUUGCAAUGGAAAAUGGUUUUAAAUUUCAAGGUUUUUUUGGGGAAUUUCGUGAUCAAUAAGGGCAUGGGCUUAUGAUCGAUCCGAUUUUCCGAUUAGUAACGUUACUCUGUCCGUUCGUUGGUAGGACAUUUCCGAGUGUAGACCCACCUUCAAGGAGCAACCCAAGCCUUUUAAGAAAGCGUACAUUCGAGGUAAGGUCACUUCGGCUACGACCUAGAAUUCUUGAUUGUGAUUGUAUGACUAUGAAAUGUUAAGGACCUUAUGCUAGAUGAAUAUUCUAGUAAGGGCACUUCGGCCUCAGCCUAGCAUAUUGAUUGUGAUAGUGAAUGUUAGAAUGAACAUGAUACUAGGGUUAUCAAUGUUGUAUGUGCUAGAAAUGCUAUAUCAUUAUUGUUGCAAUAAAUGUUAGUUGUGAUUAUGAACAUGCAUAUAUGACUAGGGUGUUAGCUUCAUUUAUGGAUAUGCAUGCAAGUUCUUUUGCUGUUGUGAUGUUCAUAUGAGAUGAACAUGAAAGGCUUAGAAAAAAAAAUGAUAACUGACUUGCAUGACAUGCAUCCGUGGCCAAGUGAGCUGGAUUGUGCUUGGUGGCCACGACUGGUGACCUGGAUUGGGCUAGUCAGUGGUGACGUUCAGGGGAGGCCCUGAACAAGGAUGAACGUGAUGCGGCAGUGCGUUGGAGAGGUCCAACCCCGAUCGUGGAGCUAAGGAGCAGCGGUGCGUUGGAGAGGUCCAACCUCGAUCGUGGAAUCAUGUUCGUCCUGCCUUUUCAUGAGGGAUCGGCUGAAUGGAUAUCCGAAAGAUCUGCAUGCAUGUGAACGAGCAUUGACUAACUAUAACUUAGAGCUAUCAGAUAGUUCCUCAUACUUGUGAAUCUUAGAACUUAAUAUAGUUCCCCUUAUUUGUGAAUGUUAGCUUAAGGAAGAACUUGUGAUUGAUAGGGUAGUAUACCCUACUCAUGACAUGUGUGUGUUAGAAGUUGACUCUUGCUUGUUUGUUGUUUGUUAUUUGAGGCGCUUAACGCCCAGACCACAUGCACGCGUGUGAUCAGACAUGAUGUGGCUCUAUACCUGCUCAAAGUGGGCGACGACAUGGCUUGGGACAUCGACUACGUGACUAAUAUAUCAGCUAUGGGAUUGGCGAGAGAAGAGGAUACGAGACAAUUUGAUACGAGCGUUGGAGGAGGCCUUGGAGGCACGUGGAUUAUGAGUCGGGCAUUGAGUGUGAUAAUUGAGUAUGUAGUUGGGGGUGAGCCGAGUUUGCUUAUAGGCUUCGAACCUAACCUAGAGACCUUCUUGUCGUGUUGGCGGUCGAACACUAGUUUAAUAAUCCUGUCUUUAAUUUUGAAGGAAUUAAU